AACGAACGCUGGCGGCAUGCCUAACACAUGCAAGUCGAACGAGACCUUCGGGUCUAGUGGCGCACGGGUGCGUAACGCGUGGGAACCUGCCCUUAGGUUCGGAAUAACUCCCCGAAAGGGGUGCUAAUACCGGAUAAUGUCUUCGGACCAAAGAUUUAUCGCCUUUGGAUGGGCCCGCGUUGGAUUAGCUAGUUGGUAGGGUAAAAGCCUACCAAGGCGACGAUCCAUAGCUGGUCUGAGAGGAUGAUCAGCCACACUGGGACUGAGAACGGCCCAGACUCCUACGGGAGGCAGCAGUGGGGAAUAUUGGACGAUGGGCGAAAGCCUGAUCCAGCAAUGCCGCGUGAGUGAUGAAGGCCUUAGGGUUGUAAAGCUCUUUUACCCGGGAUGAUAAUGACAGUACCGGGAGAAUAAGCUCCGGCUAACUCCGUG
rnacentral:rRNA from 1 species